UCUCCUCAAACCCUAAAUGUCUGUACAAACUCUAAUAAUGUCGCCGCUUUCACCCACCACCGCACCGCUCUCGCAAAAUCCUCAGCUGCGAUUCUCACACUAUAACCGUACCGCACUCGCAAAUUUAAAUCCGUUGUUCUGAGGAAACAAAGAUUUGAUUUUUGGAAAAACUAUCUUUUGCUCAAGGUUAUGUGGAUUUCGUUUUUGAACUAUCACCGUCUCACUCUCUCUGAAUCCGUAAUUCCAAGAUAUACUGUUAUAUAGGUUCAAAGAGCUAUACAUCCCCAUCUAGAAUAAUGGUAAGGUUAUGUUUGCUUGAUUGAUCAAUUACACUCUACUUCACUUGUCUUUGUUAUUGACAUUUUUACUCUUCAAUAUCUAAUGGAAGUUUGAUUGAGUAGUAGUAGAAUUUUCUUUCCUUUUUCACAAACUACCCAUGAUUUAUUUUUCUACUUUGAUAAUAGUUUUAUUGUCUAUGACUUUUUAUAAUUCUGUUGAAAAAAAACAUUCACUGCCAUAUAGCAUUUCAAGCUUUCGGAAACUUGGUGAAACCACGUCUGUGUUUUUGUUUUUUUGUGUGUAACUUUGACAGGAAAAAUUCCCUCGAGGCUUUUCAAUAUCAAUAUUUGAAAUUUCUGGGAGUUGAAUUCCCUCGGAAAAAUUCUGUGUGUAACUUUUUGGAAAAAUUCUCUUUAUCAGCUUUAGGUGCCUUAGCAAGAGCCGGUGCAUGAGCUAUAGCUUCCGGCUUAACAAAAUCCAAACGAAUAAGAACCUUAUCAACAUGAUAUAUAUCAAGUGUUUUAUCAGUAUACACACUUCCAUUGAUGGUUGCAUCAAGAACGCCCGUUGAUAUAUUCACACUGUUACCAUAAAAUUGAAGAAAAAAUGUCUCACAGAAAGUUUGAGCAUCCGAGACACGGUUCUUUAAGUUGCUUUGUUGUGUUUUCAAUUUCACUUGAUUUCGUUUUUAAAUCCACUGCCUUUUCUCAAAUAUAAUAAACUUAUAUCUUACAAAAUUAAUAGUUAUUUUUCGACUUUGUUUUCAACUUCUUCUCAAUCAACACGAUAUCCUUAACAAAGGAUGUUGCUAACACUUGUAUGAACUAUGAAGUCAAAUCUUUUAUAAAACCUGCUUUUUGUUGUUGCAAUCACGUAUCAGGGGUGUUUAAAGUCUGCAACAUUCUGUUGAGUAGAAGGUGAUGUUAAAUACCUAGCACUGGUUUGACAGUUACAAAUUUUAUAUUUUACUAUAAUGAACUCAUGUGAUUGUACAUCACCGUUUUGAUACUUAGAGUUCUUUGUAGAUUAAUGGUUUUUAUGUACAUUA